ensembl:lncRNA
CGGUCUGCGCUCUUCUUUUGCUGAUCAUCCUGACUCUCAUCUUUCUUGGCUUCAGGAAACGCUCCAGGACACAGCAGCAAACAUGUGAAACACCAAGUCAUCUCAACAAUUCAAAGCAAACAUGUGAAACACAAAAUCCUGUCUACGAUCCACAGCCCUGUGGAAAGCCAUUCUCCAAAGGGGAUGAAGAUGAUGAAGAUGUGUAUGGCAAUGAUGAAAUGAUGCAGGAUGAUGAUGGAGAGAUCUAUGCUAACACCGCGUAUGGAGGCGGUGAAGAGCGUUAUGAUGACAUUUAUGCCAAUUACAAGAGCCAGUGAAAGCCAGAAAGCAGCCGUGCACCAGCAAAUCCACCCUGUGCAGUCUCCAGACCAACAGAGGCCCCAAGUGCAAUUCUGUGAAGUGGCAGUGCACAUAUCCAUCUCAAAAAAAGAAAAACAGACAAACAAGCAAACAACAUUAUAUCAUAUGUUUAGUAUGUAAUGAUACUUUUCACUUUUUACUUUCUACUGGUACACAUGCGUGUUUAUUUUCAUGUAAAUAUGCUAAGACCCUAAAAAUUGCCGCUUCACUUAUAUGUAUGUACGGUAUAUGUAUACGCUAUAUGUUACUUUCUUACCUGUGAAUUGAGCCAGUGGUUAACCAACCAGAUUAUACUAAACAGCCUGAGCUUGAGUUGUGAUGUUUGUUUUAUUUUGAGGAGCAGUCACCAUACUGAGUUGACUACCAGUUUAUGUUCUGUUAUUUUGGUUUAUUUAAAAGUAUGACAAACACCGUCUCUCAAACUAUAUAUAUUCAUCCAUUUGGCCAGUGGCGAUUUUAGCCUGAAAUUUCUGGUGGGG